AUUGAACGCUGGCGGCAGGCCUAACACAUGCAAGUCGAACGAGUGGCGGACUGGUGAGUUAUGUCUGGGAAACCGCCUGACGGAGGGGGCUAACUACUGGAACCGGUGGCUAAUACCGCAUACCACCGGCUGUUCCCAGAUGGGGUUAGCUUGUUGGUGGGGUAACGGCUCACCAAGGCGACGAUCCCUAGCGGGUCUGAGAGGAGGACCAGCCACACUGGAACGUAGGCGCGGUCAAGACGCCUGCGGGAGGCAGCAUUGGGGAAUAUUUCACAAUGGGCGCAAGCCGGAUGCAGCCAGGCCGCGUGUAUGAAGAAGGCCUUCGGGUUGUGAGGUACUUUCAGCGGGGAGGCGUUACCCGCAGAAGAGGCGCCGACUGACUCCGUGCCAGCAGCCGCGGUAAUAC
rnacentral:rRNA from 1 species